CAAAAACCCCUCACAUGGGCCCCUGUUCAGUUUUAUAUACACACACCUGUUUGCAACGGCUGGCUUUGGGAAUCAUGCCAAAAAAAUCCUGUGAGAAAUACCUGUUGCACAAUAACUCUGAGACUAUAUAAGAACCAUAAUUCAGACAGUGUAGGAGGCUAUAGAUUUUCUAAUUUGAUCAUACAUAUUAGUAUGUAUCAUCAAUAAACGUUUGAGAAUUCAGUGAAUACAAAUCUAAUAAAUGAUUAAUGAAGCUCAAUAAAGACCUCACUGGCCACUGAAACAGUCAUGUUUUAAUGGCUAAAAUAUGUUCCCUCAUUAAAUUUUACUUUAUAAUGUCUGUAUUCCUAAUUUUGAUGAAGAUCUACACUCUUAAAUGUCUUCCAUAACUUGUGUAAUCGCUAUAACAAAUCCCUAAUAAUACUUAUAUUGUUGUUUUUCCUCCAAUAAAUAGUUGGCUAUUCAUAUGCAAUAACUACUCAGUGCACAAACCAACAGUUUGCAGAAAUGCUCAGAUGGCAUAUCAGCAGGGGGCGCACAUUCACAGCAUGGUCCUGUAUGUUCCAUGUAGAACAUACUGUAUAUGAGAACAGACAUGGUCCUGUAAAGCUAGAUGUACCAUGCAGAACAUAUCUGAGAACAGGGUGGUCUUUUGACUGAGAACAUGGCAGCAUUUCACUCCGUCACCAUCACCACCCUGUUGUUCCUUUUGUAUGGUUCUGCUCUUGGAGACGAAGUCAAGCAAUUCCUUCCAGUUGUGUUUAAAAACAGAAACGAGUCUGAGACCCUGCCAUGCUUGCACACAUAUUCAUCCUAUUCUGUUAUUCUGUGGUACAAACAAUCUCAGGAUGGUGGAUUAAAGUUCUUGGGAUACUUUCAUUAACAGAUC